rfam:Zea mays cultivar B73 chromosome 7, whole genome shotgun sequence.
GCCGAGCUCAGUUACGAGAGCUUGUAACCCUAGUGGGGGCAUUAAAGGUGGUGCGGAUGCUUUCUGACGGCUUCUGGGCCUGGGCCCAUAUGUGCCACUAGGCUGGACUGUCCAUCCCAAGUUGGGAGUGUCUGGCGGGGCUCAGGGCAAGCCUUGGACCUCUCUAGGCCUGAAGCGGUAGGCACGGCGUGAGGCUGGUUUAACAGAGCAGCGAUCACUGCCCGCUUCCAACGGUGGGAGGAUAACAGGCCGGCUGCACUGAGAGCCCAACUCGGGCCCAGAUCCACAUUAAAGCAGACCACCAUCUUU